UAAUGCAUCUUCACAAUUCGACGAUCUAAAUAUUCGAACCACCAUGGAAAUUUCCAGUUAUGAUCGUGGAGAACUGACUUUGGACACCUCGAACAAGAGCUCUGAACCGGCAGCGACUAUCGCUUUCAAGGAUGGCGUGCUGCGGGAAGCUUUCGAGGAACUCAAACGAACGGCCAACGAAACAGGCGUGAAAUUCGCAUUCUCCUUGUCUGCGAUGCCAGCGUUUAAGUUCGCCCGAUCUAUUCCAGUGAACGAAGUACGGGAAAAGUCAGGUCCAUUGGUUCUAUUGGCGUCUGUAGGGCAUAGCUUGAAGCGAAAAGACAUCAUCACCAUCCGGCACAACGUCGACCAGUUGUUUAAUUAUCCAUCAGGAGCCAGAAGGAACCAUGAAUGCAUUUUCCUGGACUACACGUCCAAAACUUGGGUGCAGAAAAGGAUGGGUGCAGAAUGUCAGCUAAAUAUCCAAAAUGGGAUAGCACGAUUGUGGAAUGCACCUGUGAUCAUCUGACGCCAUUCUCGCUGCUAUUGACGUUGUGUGGCAGUUUGUCGACUUCUUUCGCUCCCACCGAUGAAUCCUUCACUCCAGACUUGGCCAUCGUGACCAUA